rnacentral:lncRNA from 1 species
CAAUCAACUGUAUUCCGUACUACUUAAAACACCCAGGAAACACUACAAUGCUUUCCACUUCCUAAUAAUACUCCACCAUCACUGAUAACAACAACUUGUAAUCCCGCACUAUCCUAAAUGACAGGACAUAAUCAUACUAUAAUCCAAACUCUAGAGUUCUUCACCAUUAACUGCCUUCACAUUAUAGUGUUUCACACAAACACAGACUCAUUCUCUCUGCUGAACUACAAUCAGAUUUCAGCAUUCAAUCUUUCUUCUUCCCAUUUAAUAACAAUCAUACUUCCAUUCCAUAAUUCACUUUCACAAUAUUCAGAAACUCUUAAUCUUCUUAUUCAAAGAAAAUAACAAACAAAAGAAAAGAGGUAGCACCAAGCUUACCCUGGCUCACACUAUCACAGUCUGGCCCUUACUUCCUUUCUCCCAUCCUCCUUAUGCUACCACGAGAUACCAACUACUACAUCUCUAAUGAAAACUGCUUUUCCUAACUAUUCAUCCAAUUUACCUACUGAACUACCUUUUCAACAGUCAUCUAUCUCUGUUUAUACUAUAAACUAAGUAUCUACAAUCCAGCAAAUAACUACUUAUUCUACACUUUUGGAUAAGUAUUUAAUUGUUUUCAUUGAUGAUAUCUUAGUCUAUAAUGAAAUCUUUGUAGAGUAUAAAUAACAUAUAUAAAAAGUGCUAUACUAGCUCGAAAAUAGUUACUUCUAUUACAAGAAAUCUAAGUAUAAAUUUUAGAAGUCAAAGAUCAACUUUUUAGGACAUGUAGUAUCUAUUAAAGAAGUGCACAUGAAGUAGAAUAAGAU